rnacentral:rRNA from 2 species
AACUUUCAACAACGGAUCUCUUGGCUCUCGCAUCGAUGAAGAACGCAGCGAAAUGCGAUAAGUAAUGUGAAUUGCAGAAUUCAGUGAAUCAUCGAAUCUUUGAACGCACCUUGCGCUCCUUGGUAUUCCGAGGAGCAUGCCUGUUUGAGUGUCAUGAA